rnacentral:lncRNA from 1 species
UUACAGAAGCCGUCCUGGUUUCGGAUUUGAUCCCGGAAUGUCCCGUUUUUCAUAAGGACGUCCCUAUUUUCAUUGGAGAAAUGUUGGAAGAUUACGUCCCGAGGCGACCUGGAAGUACCGGAAAGGGUUAUUUCCAGGUUUCGCCGCUUGGGCAUGCACAGAAGCAUGAAAUGAUGUCACACCCAUGCGCAGAAGCGGCGAAUCGCAACCUGCAUGUUCGCAGACGCGCCCCUGCGGGUUGCGCUCUUUUCAUGUUGCAAACAGGCCUCCGGAACGGAUCCCGUUCGCAACCAGAGAUUGCAAGCACAAACAAGACUGUGCAACCGAAACUAGAACUGCUACUGUCAAAACAGGACCCUGUUUUUUUUAUUAAAAAAAAACAAAUGCCACCACAACAAAAACAGUGGUUAUUCCUUAUGACGGAAGGUGAGAGGGAUCCUUCCCCACCAACCUCACUCUGCCCUCAGCCUGCCUGUCUCCCUGCUUACAACCACUUCAGGUCCUUUGCCUGGCUGCCAACUUCCUGGCUGCUUAACCUCAGCCUUGCUCCCACCAAAGUACUGCAUUUUUCGCUCCAUAAGGUGCACCUGACCAUAAGACGCACCUAGUUUUUAGAGGGGGAAAGCAAGGAAAAAAUAUUCUGCGCAGAGGAUGUAAGCAGCACUCGCUUUUCUUGCUGUAAAGCGCUGUGACACCGGAGCAAGAAGAGGAGGAGGAGACACUGGGACAGGUGCUUUGCUUGCUUUACAGUGAGGCGGGAGGAUGGUUGAGCAAGCAAAGUGAGAACUGCGUAAAGCGGGACAGAAGCCAUGUAAGCAGCUCUCGCAUUGCUUGCUCCCGUCUGUCCCUCCUCCUGCUUCACUGUGAAGCCAGCAGAGCAAACUGUGCACCUAUCUCUCUCUCUGAAGCCAGCAGAGCAAGAGCGAUAGCUGCUCAGCGGCUCUUGCUCUGUUGGCUUCACAGCGAGCGAUGGACGGGGGCCAUGGCUCUGGCUGUGGAGGCAUCCCUCAGCUCGCGACUGCAGCGGUAGCCGAGGGAUCCCUCUGCCGCCCAGUGCAUUUGCUCCAUAAGACAUUUCCCCUUACUUUUUAGGAGGAAAAAAGUGUGUCUUAUGGAGCGAAAAAUAUGGUAAUCAGGGAGGAGACAAAACUAGCAUCAGUUGCCUCCGCCUGCUUUUGUCUCUGGCUCCACCUGCUGCUGACCUCUUGGCUUUCCAUCCCACCAUCCCUAAUGGGUACCAGCCUCCAUGGAUUCCUCUAGUCGCCAGCCAUUUGUGUCUCCUAACAAGCCCAUUGUCCUUCUUGGUUAGGCACCUGUAACCAUCGUCCUCCUUAACAGCAGUGGCGUUGUCGCACCUCACCCCAAACUUGUGCGACUCCAGGGGUCCCAGGUGCUAACCCAGCCUUCGUGUUUCCUUCGGAACGAGGUACAGCAGGGACGGCGGUGCCUUUAGGAUAUACAGUUUAUUUACACAUAUGUAAAU